GCCUGGGUAGCAUAAUGGAAAUGCAGCGCUCCCCUAAAGCGAAGAUUGGACGUUCGAGUCGUCUCCCGGGUA
rnacentral:tRNA from 1 species